CAUCCCAACUCUUAGUCCUAGCUGUCGCUGCUCCUUCAUCUUCGUCCUCCUCCUCCUACUUCUUUUUCUUCCCCCUUUUCUUCUUCGCUCCCUCUGAUCUUUCUACACAUGAAGGUUAAAGUUGCAUGUCUUGUAAUUUUUGUUUCUGGUUUUCAUCUUGCCGUUCUCUUUGCUGAGCACAAGCGCGAAUCGCCUCUCCUCAUUUCACUUCCUAUUGCGAGGCAUUGUAAUGAGCAUCGCAUCGCACCAUCAAUGCUCAUCUCGACCCAUCUAAUAGAGACCCAUAUGCAAAUACAUCCUUACUUUGAUAGCAUCAGAGAACCAUCCAUCCACC
rnacentral:misc_RNA from 1 species